rnacentral:tRNA from 1 species
GGUUCCCGUGGUGUAGAGGUUAUCACGUGCGCCUCACACGCGCAAGGUCCCCUGUUCGAUCCCGGGCGGGAUCU